rnacentral:rRNA from 1 species
UUGACCUACGGGGGGCAGCAGUGAGGAAUAUUGGUCAAUGGGCGGGAGCCUGAACCAGCCAAGCCGCGUGAGGGAAGAAGGUACAGCGUAUCGUAAACCUCUUUUGUCAGGGAACAAAGGCGGGGACUAGUCCCCGGAUGAGGGUACCUGAAGAAAAAGCAUCGGCUAACUCCGUGCCAGCAGCCGCGGUAAUACGGAGGAUCCGAGCGUUAUCCGGAUUUAUUGGGUUUAAAGGGAGCGUAGAUGGGUUGUUAAGUCAGUUGUGAAAGUUUGCGGCUCAACCGUAAAAUUGCAAUUGAUACUGG